rnacentral:rRNA from 1 species
AACAAACGCUGGCGGCGUGCCUAAUACAUGCAAGUCGAACGAGGAAAGCUUUCGGGUGAGUACUAGUGGCGCACGGGUGAGGAAUAUAUGGGUAAUCUGCCCUCGAGUUGGGGAUAACCAGUCGAAAGACUGGCUAAUACCGAAUAAGACCACAGGAUCUGCGGAUCUAGGGGUUAAAGGUUUUUCGCUUGAGGAUGAGCCCAUACGGGAUUAGCUAGUUGGCGAGGUAAUGGCUCACCAAGGCUACGAUCCCUAACUGGUCUUAGAGGAUGAUCAGUCACACUGGAACUGAGACACGGUCCAGACUCCUACGGGAGGCAGCAGUAGGGAAUAUUGCACAAUGGGGGAAACCCUGAUGCAGCGACGCCGCGUGAGUGAUGAAGGCCUUCGGGUCGUAAAGCUCUGUCGAAUGGGACUAACACAAUGAAGGUACCAUGCAAGAAAGGAUCGGCUGACUUCGUGCCAGCAGCCGCCGUAA